UAUAAUUUUUGACUCUUCGUCUUAUUCAAAAAAUUUUGUGAUUAAUAUUUUUUUAUUAGAUGAUAAAUCAUGAAUAGUAUUUUACGUGUGACUAAUUUUUUUUUAAUUUUUUAAAAUAUUUUUAAAUAAAACGGACGUUAAAUGUUAGACACAGAAA
rnacentral:pre_miRNA from 1 species